CUCAUAUACAAAAAUUUUAGUCAUCUUUUUCCUUUCUCUCACACACACAUGUUUGUCCCCAUAUAUACAUUUCAUUUUCUUUCACCCCUCUCUCAAAAUAUAAACGAAUUAAUUUUCUUUUUAUAUAUUUUAUUCUUUUUCCAAAAAUAUAAUACACAUAUUUCUUCUCUUCUCACAUACAAAUACUAAAAUAAAAUACAUAUUAACAAAUACC
rnacentral:lncRNA from 1 species